UGACAUGCAGACACAUUUCCCCCGCUUCCAUGGUCCUCGGGAACAACAUUUUCGUCUUUCACCUUCUCCCAGAGCUGCCAGUACUUCUAUUCACUUAUAAACGAAAUUUACAAACUCGUCGACACAGGUACGGGAAAUUUCUAAUGAAGUUUCACCAGAGCCCUUUCGUUACACGGCGGAGAGCCUUUUGGCGAUUCAAGAAGCUACGGAGGACUUCCUCGUUCACCUUUUUGAAGACUGCAACCUGUGUGCGAUUCAUGCAAAACGUGUAACCAUAAUGCCUAAAGAUCUCCAGCUUGCUCGGCGAAUUCGAGGUCCCAUAUAUGGUGUCUCGGCCUAUUAGCAUUAGGUGCAAGUUAAUACCAAUAGAUUUUGCAGGAAUCAAUGCGGCGAACUUGCUCUCCUUGUUUUUAGGAAGCGUUCCAAGCAGAAAGAGCACGGACAUUCAAACGCCAUUGCACAACAAGAGCGUUGUUGAUCAUUACGGGACAUACAUGCACGCAUGUCUGUGUACUAAUAUGGUCUUUCUAAUACCUUUUCCACAGCGAUGGAUGUGACAUUCCGUUACUGUAUGCCCUGUUUGCCCUUGAUGCAUAUUGUGUUGUUCAUGCAAGAUUUCAGGACGGACGCAGGCAGUCUAGUCGCGUAGCGAGCAACGGCCACUAGCUAGGCCGAUACUACGGAAAAAAAAACUUGCAAAACUUGCAACCCGUUAAAAGUUUCGGAGCCUUGUUUUUAUGAGCUUUUUAGCGGGAUUUUUUGAAACUGAUCAUGAUGGUAUCUGAAUCUAUUUAUUAUUGCCCUUUAUUUGUGUAUUAUUCUGAAUUUCAUUAGGGUGGGAUACGUUUUUAUGCAUAACGAUUU
rnacentral:lncRNA from 1 species